GCUGUUGUCACCCUUCUCUCAUGCUUCUAAUUAGAUAUUGACCAGCAGUCUUUGUCUGCUGGCUCUUUGUCAGUGUUUGACCUGCAGUGACCCCACUCCAAUAGAUUGCACAACCUCACUUAUGACGAGUCUUCAUCGCACCAACAAAAACAUCAAGAUGCGUGUGCGUGUCCAGCUGUCUCCACACAGCUCUGGGUAAUGUAAUAAGCCCCCUCUGUUCUAAGGAAGGAAACAGAGACUCAUGGCUGGAAUUACAGACACCCGCUCUCCCACAAGCACACAGACGAGCAGACUGAUGGACAGAAACAUCUCUGACAUCAUCAGGAAAUGGAAACAUUGGAUGCUCCUCUAUGGAUUACAUUGUGCCUUCAUGCACAUCCAGUUACAUAUCUGUUUAAAAGAAUCUGCUUAAAUAUCAAUAAUCAAAUAAAGCCUUCACAUACUGUA